rnacentral:misc_RNA from 1 species
UAAACAGGUAAACCUCCCUAUGCGUAACUAAGGAAGCACAGAAUUCUAGGGAUAUGCUGGCAAACCAACAUCAACAUAUGUUUAUUUGUAGUUAGUGAUGAAUUCUCAGAAAACGAUACUCUAGAAAUCAUGAAAGUAAAACAGUUGAUGGCAUGGAUCACACCAAAGAUCUUUCAUAUCAUUAGCUUAGAAAUAUGUUGCUACACUAAAUAAUUAAACAACGGCAUGCUAAUUAUUAAUAAUAAAAAAGAAGCAAAAUAAGUACAGGGAAACAGAGAAAAGAUGGAUGCCAUCUCACAUUGUAAUUGUUUUGGUCAUGAA